rnacentral:rRNA from 1 species
CCUACGGGCGGCAGCAGUGGGGAAUAUUGCACAAUGGGGGAAACCCUGAUGCAGCGACGCCGCGUGAGUGAAGAAGUAAUUCGUUAUGUAAAGCUCUAUCAGCAGGGAAGAAAAUGACGGUACCUGAGUCAGAAGCCCCGGCUAACUACGUGCCAGCAGCCGCGGUAAUACGUAGGGGGCAAGCGUUAUCCGGAUUUACUGGGUGUAAAGGGAGCGUAGACGGCAGUGCAAGUCUGGAGUGAAAGGCGGGGGCUCAACCCCCGGACUGCUCUGGAAACUGUACGGCUGGAGUGCAGGAGAGGUAAGUGGAAUUCCUAGUGUAGCGGUGAAAUGCGUAGAUAUUAGGAGGAACACCAGUGGCGAAGGCGGCUUACUGGACUGUAACUGACGUUGAGGCUCGAAAGCGUGGGGAGCAAACAGGAUUAGAUACCCCUGUAGUC